ACUAUAUAUAUUAACAAACUUUUCCUCCGAAGUUUUUUUUAUACAUAAAGUGGCUCUCGUGAAAAUUUUAAUGUAACAAAGAUGGAUAUUAAGUGUUAUACUGUAAUCGGUCAUAUACUCAGUAUAUGAAUGUUUUAUAAACAGUUUUCCUUUAUGUAUGUAUGUCUUAAAUGUUCACCUUCCCAGCUUUCUUUCAAAAUCUUUGUAUUUUAAAAUGUUGUCGAUUGACUACCUCCAUGUGCAUGUAUAAAUUACAUUAGCUUUGUCACUGUGAAAUUAAAGAGCAAAUUUGGUUUUAUUUUCCGAUUCGAGAAUUUGUUUCACUGACUAGUCUCAUAGAUAAGCUUUUAAUCAAUACAAUCUAAGUACAUCUUGACAUAGAUGUUCUUAGAGCAGAUACAAUGUAUUUGUCCUCAAACGUUUUGUUUUUAUGUUUUCCGUGAUAAAAAGUCUAUUAAAUCAAAUCAAAUCGAUAAACCUAUGUUGAAUGUUCUUUAAUAAAAUUGCACAUAGCAUU
rnacentral:misc_RNA from 1 species